AUCCAGGGAUGGGAAUCGAACCCACAGUGUUCCGCUUACCGGGCAGAUGCCAUGUCCACUAGGCUACCCAGGA
rnacentral:tRNA from 1 species